UACGUAGGGGGCAAGCGUUGUCCGGAUUUAUUGGGCGUAAAGAGCGUGUAGGCGGCUUGGUAGGUCCGCUGUGAAAACUCGAGGCUCAACCUCGAGAUGUCGGCGGUAACCACUUGGCUAGAGUCCGGAAGAGGAGAGUGGAAUUCCUGGUGUAGCGGUGAAAUGCGCAGAUAUCAGGAAGAACACCUAUGGCGAAGGCAGCUCUCUGGGACGGUACUGACGCUGAGACGCGAAAGCGUGGGGAGCGAACAGG
rnacentral:rRNA from 1 species